rnacentral:tRNA from 1 species
GGUUAUAUAGCUCAGUGGUAGAGCACAUGCUUUAUAUGUAUGAGGCCCUGGAUUUGGUCCCUAGGUCCUAUCUCCA